GACGAGCGGCGGACGGGUGAGUAAUGCAUAGGAAUCUGCCCGAUAGUGGGGGAUAACCUGGGGAAACCCAGGCUAAUACCGCAUACGUCCUACGGGAGAAAGGGGGCUCCGGCUCCCGCUAUGGGAUGAGCCUAUGUCGGAUUAGCUAGUUGGUGAGGUAACGGCUCACCAAGGCCACGAUCCGUAGCUGGUCUGAGAGGAUGAUCAGCCACAUCGGGACUGAGACACGGCCCGAACUCCUACGGGAGGCAGCAGUGGGGAAUAUUGGACAAUGGGGGAAACCCUGAUCCAGCCAUGCCGCGUGUGUGAAGAAGGCCCUCGGGUUGUAAAGCACUUUCAGCGAGGAAGAACGCCUAGCGGUUAAUACCCGCUAGGAAAGACAUCACUCGCAGAAGAAGCACCGGCUAACUCCGUGCCAGCAGCCGCGGUAAUACGGAGGGUGCAAGCGUUAAUCGGAAUUACUGGGCGUAAAGCGCGCGUAGGUGGCUUGAUAAGCCGGUUGUGAAAGCCCCGGGCUCAACCUGGGAACGGCAUCCGGAACUGUCAAGCUAGAGUGCAGGAGAGGAAGGUAGAAUUCCCGGUGUAGCGGUGAAAUGCGUAGAGAUCGGGAGGAAUACCAGUGGCGAAGGCGGCCUUCUGGACUGACACUGACACUGAGGUGCGAAAGCGUGGGUAGCAAACAGGAUUAGAUACCCUGGUAGUCCACGCCGUAAACGAUGUCGACCA
rnacentral:rRNA from 1 species